rnacentral:rRNA from 1 species
AAUGAACGCUGGCGGCGUGCUUAACACAUGCAAGUCGAACGGUGAAAGCGGAGCUUGCUCCGCUGGAUCAGUGGCGAACGGGUGAGUAACACGUGGGCAACCUGCCCCUCACUUCGGGAUAACUCCGGGAAACCGGGGCUAAUACCGGAUAUGACCUCCUUGGGCAUCCUUGGAGGUGGAAAGUUUUUCGGUGAGGGAUGGGCCCGCGGCCUAUCAGCUUGUUGGUGAGGUAGUGGCUCACCAAGGGGACGACGGGUAGGCGGCCUGAGAGGGCGAACGGGCACACGGGGACUGGGACACGGCCCAGACUCCUACGGGAGGCAGCAGUGGGGAAUAUUGCGCAAUGGGCGAAAGCCUGACGCAGCAACGCCGCGUGCGGGAUGAAGGCCUUCGGGUUGUAAACCGCUUUCAGCAGGGAAGAAGCGAAAGUGACGGUACCUGCAGAAGAAGCACCGGCUAACUACGUGCCAGCAGCCGCGGUAA